UACGUAGGGGGCAAGCGUUGUCCGGAAUCAUUGGGCGUAAAGCGCACGUAGGCGGAUUUGUAAGUCAGGGGUGAAAUCCCGGGGCUCAACCUCGGAACUGCCUUUGAUACUGCAAAUCUCGAGUCCGGAAGAGGUGAGUGGAAUUCCUAGUGUAGAGGUGAAAUUCGUAGAUAUUAGGAAGAACACCAGUGGCGAAGGCGGCUCACUGGUCCGGUACUGACGCUGAGACGCGAAAGCGUGGGGAGCAAACAGG
rnacentral:rRNA from 1 species